rnacentral:piRNA from 1 species
UAAUAUCUCCCAACAGCUUUUGAAAAUC